CCUACGGGUGGCAGCAGUGAGGAAUAUUGGUCAAUGGGCGUAAGCCUGAACCAGCCAAGUCGCGUGAGGGAUGAAGGCCCUAUGGAUCGUAAACCUCUUUUAUAUGGGAAUAAAGUGUGGGACGUGUCGUGUUUUGUAUGUACCUUAUGAAUAAGGAUCGGCUAACUCCGUGCCAGCAGCCGCGGUAAUACGGAGGAUCCGAGCGUUAUCCGGAUUUAUUGGGUUUAAAGGGAGCGUAGGUGGACUGUUAAGUCAGCGGUGAAAGUCUGUGGCUCAACCGUAGAAUUGCCGUUGAAACUGGGAGGCUUGAGUAUAGUAGAGGCGGGCGGAAUGCGUGGUGUAGCGGUGAAAUGCUUAGAUAUCACGCAGAACCCCGAUUGCGAAGGCAGCCUGCUGGGCCAUGACUGACGCUGAUGCACGAAAGCGUGGGGAUCAAACAGGAUUAGAUACCCGAGUAGUC
rnacentral:rRNA from 1 species